rnacentral:rRNA from 1 species
UGAGGAAUAUUGGUCAAUGGACGAAAGUCUGAACCAGCCAUGCCGCGUGAAGGAUGACGGCCCUACGGGUUGUAAACUUCUUUUGUAUAGGAAGAAACCCCUCUACGUGUAGAGGGUUGACGGUACUAUUCGAAUAAGCACCGGCUAACUCCGUGCCAGCAGCCGCGGUAAUACGGAGGGUGCGAGCGUUAUCCGGAAUUAUUGGGUUUAAAGGGUGCGUAGGCGGAAAUUUAAGUCAGUGGUGAAAGCCUGCAGCUUAACUGUAGAAUUGCCAUUGAUACUGGAUUUCUUGAAUCUAAUAGAAGUAGGCGGAAUAUGACAUGUAGCGGUGAAAUGCUUAGAUAUGUCAU